CAACGCAGCAUCCCCCCCCCGGCCAAGUACGGCGGGCGGCACACGGUGACGCUGAUCCCCGGUGAUGGCAUCGGCCCCGAGCUGAUGCUGCACGUCAAAGAGGUCUUCAGGCAUGCGUGUGUUCCUGUGGAUUUUGAGGAGGUUCGGGUGAAUUCGGAGGCGCCUGAGGAUGAUGUGCAAAACGCCAUCAUGGCCAUCCGGCGCAACGGGGUGGCGCU